rnacentral:rRNA from 1 species
UACGGAGGAUGCAAGCGUUAUCCGGAUUUAUUGGGUUUAAAGGGUGCGUAGGCGGGAAGAUAAGUCAGUGGUGAAAUCCUGCAGCUUAACUGUAGAAUUGCCGUUGAUACUAUUUUUCUAGAGUGUGGUCAAGGAAGGCGGAAUGUGUAAUGUAGCGGUGAAAUGCUUAGAUAUUACACAGAACACCGAUUGCGAAGGCAGCUUUCUGGGCCGUUACUGACGCUGAUGCACGAAAGCGUGGGGAUCGAACAGGAUUAGAUA